CCCCAACGCUAGCCCCAUAUAACCCCAACAACAGUCCCAUGUAACCCCAACACCAGCCCCAUGUAGCCCCAGCACCAUCCCCAUGUAACCCCAGCCCCAUCCACAUGUAACCCCAACGCUAGCCCCAUGUAACCCCAGGACCAGCCCCAUGUAACCCCAGCCCCAUGUAACCCCAACACCAGCCCAUGUAACCCCAACACCAGCCCCAUGUAACCCUGACACCAGCCCCAUGUAACCCCAGCCCCAUCCCCAUGUAACACCAACACCAGCCCCAUGUAACACCAACACCAGCCCCAUGUAACCCCAAUACCAGCCCCAUGUAACCCUGACACCAGCCCCAUGUAACCCAGAACCAGCCCCAUGUAACCCUGACACCAGCCCCAUGUAACCCUGAGACCAGCCCCAUGUAACCCCAGAACCAGCCCCAUGUAACCCCAGAACCAGCCCCAUGUAACCCUGACACCAGCCCCUGUAACCCC
ensembl:lncRNA